rnacentral:rRNA from 1 species
GAUUAAACCGGAUCCGAAGGCGCGGGUAUUUUUUUACGUUAGAGGAGCGUUCCUAGGGCAAUGAAGUCAGACCGUGAGGACUGGUGGAGCGCUAGGAAGUGAGAAUGCCGGUAUGAGUAACGAUUCGUAGUGAGAAUCUACGACGCCUAUUGGGGAAGGUUUCCUGGGCAAGGUUCGUCCACCCAGGGUUAGUCAGGACCUAAGACGAGGCUGAAAAGCGUAGCCGAUGGACAACAGGUUAAUAUUCCUGUACUUUCUAUAAUAGUGAUGGAGUGACGGAGGAGGAUAAUCUUACCACUUACUGGAUUGUGGGGUAAGCGUUAACUGGUGACUGUAGGCAAAUCCGCAGUCUAUAACCGGGAGGCGUGAUGCAUAGGGUCAAACCGAAUUAGAUAAUUCCACACUUCCAAGAAAAGCUUCUAAACUUAAUAUAUGAAACC